rnacentral:rRNA from 1 species
UGGGGAAUAUUGCACAAUGGGCGCAAGCCUGAUGCAGCGACGCCGCGUGGGGGAUGACGGCCUUCGGGUUGUAAACUCCCUUCGCUAGGGACGAAGCUUUUUGUGACGGUACCUAGAUAAGAAGCACCGGCUAACUACGUGCCAGCAGCCGCGGUAAUACGUAGGGUGCGAGCGUUGUCCGGAAUUACUGGGCGUAAAGGGCUCGUAGGUGGUUUGUCGCGUCGUCUGUGAAAUUCCGGGGCUUAACUCCGGGCGUGCAGGCGAUACGGGCAUAACUUGAGUACUGUAGGGGUAACUGGAAUUCCUGGUGUAGCGGUGAAAUGCGCAGAUAUCAGGAGGAACACCGAUGGCGAAGGCAGGUUACUGGGCAGUUACUGACGCUGAGGAGCGAAAGCAUGGGUAGCGAACAGGAUUAGAUACCCUGGUAGUCCAUGCCGUAAACGGUGGGCGCUAGGUGUGAGGGUCUUUUCACGACUUUCGUGCCGUAGCUAACGCAUUAAGCGCCCCGCCUGGGGAGUACGGCCGCAAGGCUA